CCACACAUCCCUCCUGACCUGUCCCGACCUCUGUCUUCAUUGCGACUCUUCUCCAUUUUCUGGGCCAUUCCUCCCCACGACCCUCAGAGUAAAACCACAAGCCUGCCCUUCCAAAGCAUCUCCUCCAGGAAGCCUGCCAGGAUUUACUGUUCUCUAGUCAGAGGACACAGUAGGGUGCUGGGGCUGCUGGGCAGUGGGGCCACUGGAUCCAGAGAUGCUGCCUGUGGGGCCUUCGUAGAAACAGGCUGACGAGGAGCUCGUCGUGUGUGUUGGCUCAAAGCUCGGCACCCUCACUUCCAGGCGGGUCAGGGACCAGUUCUUGUUGUCUUGGCCUGCGUCUCGCAUUCUCCUCCACGAUGGGCUUUUCCAGCAACCCAGAACAACGCAUUUCCUAGCACACAUCACACUCAUGUGAAUUUGGGGAAACUAGUAGCUGUACUCGUUGGUACUUAAUCCCUUAACUCAGAACUUUCCACACUGCAUAGUGGGUUUGUUCGUUUUUACGUCAUGCUGGUUCCAGACAACUUCUGUACACGCCUGGUAUUUGGGGUCGGACGUCCUUUCCGGGACAGACAGAAAGAGCUCACAGACCAGACCCCAAGCGCAGGGUGUUAUUUGUGUUCCUGUUUUUUUGAACCUGGGCCACAGCUGCCUUACUUAGAAAUGACCUUGGGGUCAAACAGGGACAUGACUUUGGAUGAGGUGAUGGUUUCCUAAAUAUGACACCAAAAACAACAAAAGAAAAGACAGAUAAACUGGACUUCAUCAGAAUUCUAAGCUUUUGUGUCAAAAGAUACUAUCAAGAAAAUGAAAAGAACCAACAGAAUAGAAGGAAGGUAUUUGCAAGUCAUUUUUCAGAGACUUCUAUCUAGAAUAUCGAAAGAACACUCACAUCAGUAU